GGACUAUCUGUACAGCCAGCAGGCGGAUCAGUGGCAGCUGCACCAGGAACAUCUACCCCGUCAACAUCGGCAGUUGGUGUGGCUACAGGUCCUUCUCGUAUCUGGAUAAUAGGGCACUCCUACGUGCACUGGGCGGCACUGAAGGCCCAUUCUCUUCCUGAGGGGCAGCAGUUGGGGAUUCCGACGUCUCAGGCAUCAAUACGGUGGUUGGGCCGUAGAGGCUUACAGUGGGAUGGUUUGCCUGCCCUCCUCCAGAAUGCCAGACAUCGAUGGGGACAGCCCCACAUCAUCCUCCUUCACAUGGGGGGAAAUGAUAUAGGGAGUGCACCUGCUCUAGAUCUCAUCAAUGCGAUGAGGUCGGAUGUCAAGUGGAUCUGUACCACGUUUCCGGGGGUUAGGCUGGCCUGGUCCAACAUAAUCCCCCGGCUGCGUUGGAGAUAUUUCCCCACACCGAGGAUAGCAUAUAGGGUUAGGAAAAAAGUUAACAGGGAGCUGGGUAGAGCAGUAAUAGAGGUAGGGGGUUUUGUGGUCCGCCAUGAACUGAUCUCAGCGGACAAAAAAGGGCUGUAUCGCCCGGACGGGGUGCACCUGUCCGACGAAGGGCUGGCGAUCUUCCUGGUGGACCUCAAAACGGCUCUGGUUAGUAAUAUUUAGCGGGUGGCGGCAAGAGCCCGGUUUAUGUGGGAGUGCCUGUCUCUUGUGGCGGGAGGUCGUAGCCAUCAACAAUUGAGGGCGGAGUCUGUAGAGGUGACAGUCGGGCUAAUGGGCGGGGGUGAUGUCCUCAGGUCGUGACCUGGGGGGCCCCGCCCCGCGGGUCUGCUGGCUGAAGAUCCUUUAGGACGUCCGCGCCUACUAGACGGAAUGGGGUGGGGCCACAUUUGUGCCCACCCUUGGCAUUUGCUAUUCCACGACAUCUGGCUGCGACCUCUUGUCAUAUGGAGCUAAUAGUUUACUAGGCCUCGAAUGCCGCCACAAGUUAAAUAUUUGAAUGACUUCCGUUGAAGUCAAGUUAAUAAAUGUGACCAUCGUUAUGGUCUUUAAAUCCCAGCUAUCUGUGUCGUGUCUUUAUUUAUAAGUUAAGUAGUUAUGUUAAGUUGUUUUGAAGGGGUUGGAACUACCAGAUACAGCAUCAGCCCUUAGGGGAAUGAAAGGUAGCAGAGUCUCCUGUAAUGGAGUUAAGGGAUGAGCUGACAGGCUAGUGGAAAAUCCCAGUGUAGUGUAGCAGCAACAAUGUUGCAAAGUGAGGGGAGGUCUUAGGCUCACCUAAUAUAAACGAAGUUCUGGAACAAUCUGGCCUCUUCCACCUGGGAUUUUGCAAGGAGAAAGUUUCCCUCCCUCCCAACCCUAUUGUUGAAUGGUUAAUUAAGUAAUUGCUAUUGCAACAGUUUUUAGGCGUCAUUCAGGCAGAUGGCUUCCCGGACGGGUUGCUGGUCCUUUAGAUGCGAAAGGCAGGGAUGGGGUUAGUUGACCUAGUCUUGGUAAGACCUUAGCCGUAAUUUAUUUGCUUCCUGGGCGAGCCUUGCUGCAGGGCUUGGCCAUACCAGUGCCUUAGAGGCUGAAGCGCAUCAUAACAUCCACGUAUCUCCUAAUGGCGGGAGGUCGUAGCCAUCAACAAUUGAGGGCGGAGUCUGUAGAGGUGACAGUCGGGCUAAUGGGCGGGGGUGAUGUCCUCAGGUCGUGACCUGGGGGGCCCCGCCCCGCGGGUCUGCUGGCUGAAGAUCCUUUAGGACGUCCGCGCCUACUAGACGGAAUGGGGUGGGGCCACAUUUGUGCCCACCCUUGGCAUUUGCUAUUCCACGACAUCUGGCUGCGACCUCUUGUCAUAUGGAGCUAAUAGUUUACUAGGCCUCGAAUGCCGCCACAAGUUAAAUAUUUGAAUGACUUCCGUUGAAGUCAAGUUAAUAAAUGUGACCAUCGUUAUGGUCUUUAAAUCCCA